GAGAGAGACAGAGAAAGAGAGAGAGAGGAGGCGGUGGAGGAGGAGGACUAGUGUGGGGUGGAAAGGAAGAGUGAGCGAGAGCAAGUUGAGGGGAGGGGGUGUAAGAGCCGGCGAAUUCUUUUUCUUUUUCUAUUAUUAUUUUGACGACUCCCGAGUUGCGCCCAUGCUCUUGUCAGCUUCGUUUUAGGCGUAGCAUGGCCAGGCAGAAGAAAAUGGGGCAAAGCGUGCUCCGAGCGGUCUUCUUUUUAGUCCUGGGGCUUUUGGGUCAUUCUCACGGAGGAUUCCCCAACACCAUCAGCAUAGGUGGACUUUUCAUGAGAAACACGGUGCAGGAGCACAGCGCUUUCCGCUUUGCCGUGCAGUUAUACAACACCAACCAGAACACCACCGAGAAGCCCUUCCAUUUGAAUUACCACGUAGAUCACUUGGAUUCCUCCAAUAGUUUUUCUGUGACUAAUGCUUUCUGCUCCCAGUUCUCGAGAGGAGUAUAUGCUAUCUUUGGAUUUUAUGACCAGAUGUCAAUGAACACUCUGACCUCCUUCUGUGGGGCCCUGCACACGUCCUUUGUCACGCCUAGCUUCCCCACUGACGCAGACGUGCAGUUUGUCAUCCAGAUGCGUCCAGCUUUGAAGGGCGCUAUUCUGAGUCUUCUGGGUCACUACAAGUGGGAGAAGUUUGUGUACCUCUACGAUACAGAAAGAGGAUUUUCCAUCCUCCAAGCGAUUAUGGAAGCAGCAGUGCAAAACAACUGGCAAGUGACAGCAAGGUCUGUGGGAAACAUAAAGGACGUCCAAGAAUUUAGGCGCAUCAUUGAAGAAAUGGACAGGAGGCAAGAAAAACGAUACUUGAUUGACUGCGAAGUUGAAAGGAUUAACACAAUUUUGGAACAGGUUGUGAUCCUGGGGAAACAUUCAAGAGGUUAUCACUACAUGCUUGCUAACCUGGGUUUCACCGAUAUUUUGCUAGAAAGAGUCAUGCACGGGGGAGCCAAUAUUACAGGAUUCCAGAUUGUCAACAAUGAAAACCCUAUGGUUCAGCAGUUCAUACAGCGCUGGGUGAGGCUGGAUGAAAGGGAAUUCCCCGAAGCCAAGAACGCACCGCUAAAGUACACAUCUGCAUUAACGCACGACGCAAUACUGGUCAUAGCAGAAGCUUUCCGCUAUCUGAGGAGACAGCGAGUGGAUGUGUCCCGGAGAGGCAGUGCUGGAGACUGCUUAGCAAAUCCUGCUGUGCCCUGGAGUCAAGGAAUUGAUAUCGAGAGAGCUCUGAAAAUGGUGCAAGUACAAGGAAUGACUGGAAACAUCCAAUUUGACACUUAUGGACGUAGGACAAAUUAUACCAUCGAUGUGUAUGAAAUGAAAGUCACUGGCUCUCGAAAAGCUGGCUACUGGAAUGAGUAUGAAAGGUUUGUGCCUUUCUCAGAUCAGCAAAUCAGCAAUGACAGUGCAUCCUCAGAGAACCGGACCAUAGUAGUGACUACCAUUCUGGAAUCACCAUACGUAAUGUAUAAGAAGAACCAUGAGCAACUGGAAGGAAAUGAGCGAUAUGAAGGCUAUUGUGUAGACUUAGCCUAUGAAAUAGCCAAACACGUAAGGAUCAAAUACAAAUUGUCCAUUGUCGGCGACGGGAAAUAUGGUGCAAGGGAUCCAGAGACUAAAAUAUGGAACGGCAUGGUUGGGGAACUUGUCUAUGGGAGGGCUGAUAUAGCUGUUGCUCCACUCACUAUAACGCUGGUCCGUGAAGAAGUCAUAGAUUUCUCAAAGCCGUUUAUGAGCCUGGGCAUCUCCAUCAUGAUAAAGAAGCCUCAGAAAUCAAAACCAGGCGUAUUCUCAUUUCUGGAUCCCUUGGCUUAUGAAAUCUGGAUGUGCAUCGUCUUCGCUUACAUUGGAGUCAGUGUAGUUCUUUUCCUAGUCAGCAGAUUCAGCCCUUACGAAUGGCACUUGGAAGAUAACAAUGAAGAACCUCGUGACCCACAAAGCCCUCCUGAUCCUCCAAAUGAAUUUGGAAUAUUUAACAGUCUUUGGUUUUCCUUGGGUGCCUUUAUGCAGCAAGGAUGUGAUAUUUCUCCAAGAUCACUCUCCGGGCGCAUUGUUGGAGGGGUUUGGUGGUUCUUCACCCUGAUCAUAAUUUCUUCCUAUACUGCCAAUCUUGCUGCUUUCCUGACUGUGGAGAGGAUGGUUUCUCCCAUAGAGAGCGCUGAAGACUUAGCUAAGCAGACUGAAAUUGCAUAUGGGACCCUGGACUCGGGCUCGACAAAAGAGUUUUUCAGAAGGUCCAAAAUUGCUGUCUAUGAGAAAAUGUGGUCUUACAUGAAAUCAGCAGAGCCAUCUGUGUUUACCAAAACAACAGCAGACGGAGUUGCCCGAGUGCGGAAGUCCAAGGGAAAGUUCGCCUUCCUGCUGGAGUCAACCAUGAAUGAGUACAUUGAGCAGAGAAAACCGUGUGAUACGAUGAAAGUUGGUGGAAAUCUGGAUUCCAAAGGCUAUGGUGUGGCAACCCCUAAAGGCUCAGCAUUAAGAAAUGCUGUUAACCUGGCAGUAUUAAAACUGAAUGAGCAAGGCCUCUUGGACAAAUUGAAAAACAAAUGGUGGUACGACAAAGGAGAGUGCGGCAGCGGGGGCGGUGACUCCAAGGUCAGCCUCAAUGUCACCACAACCGGGUACCCUUAGUGACGAGUAAUCGGCAAGACUGUUAUCUUAUUAUUGAGGAGAGAGCACAAGACUCACACAUCAAGUGGAAUGACCAGGUUAUUCCUCUGCCUGGCAGCUUUGGGAACCAGAAAGACUUCAGGGCACUGCCCACGUUUUUGAUCUAACUCGGGUCCCUUCUUAAACUCCCAGACAGAGGCUCCCCAUCCAUAUCCCCUCCCUCCCCUCCCACACCAGACUGCUUGCCUUAGGAAGGCCAUGGUGUGGGAUUCAAUGCCCUAGGCUUUCAAGAGCCCAAGCCUUUUUUAAGACUAUCCCCGCCUGCCUCAGAUGAGUGGUGAGAGAAAUCAAAUUCAUCUACUGAAAAGUCAGGUUACCAAGCCUUUUUUUUCCCCCUAAGGUAUGUUGGUGGCUUACAGAGCUUGGUUGGUUGACUAGAGUUGGCUUCUUCAAUUAUGUGUAUGAGUGACGAGAUGUUGUUCUCUAUAUGUGAUGGCCUAUUUAAGCUGGCCCCACUUAACUUGAAAGCAAAACAACAAGCUCGGUUUCAAGUUAAAUGGGGUCUUUCUUCAAUAGGCCACCCCAUAUAUAGACUUUGCAAAGACAUUUUGUAUAGUUAAACAAGUGCGCCGCCUAACUGUGAUAUUCUGUGUGUAUGAAUCCAUGAUUUGGCUUCUCCUUAGCCAUGUUCUUGGUUCAGGUAGGUCUAAUAGUUAUCCAGGCUACCAUCAUGAGAAAAUUCAUCUUACUUGGCAUUCCUUUGGCUCCUUAAUCCUCUUCUGGGCUAGAAAGAAUGAAUAGCUUUCAUCCAAGCAACAAGAAAUAGGGGCAAGCUCAGAAGCCACAACACCAAGUGAUGGAAGGACACAUUGGGUAAGUACAAGAGAGGACCUGAGAACAGAAUCCUCCGUGGCCCAAAGGGCAUGAGAACUAUAUUGAAGCAUGUAAGAUCCACUCUUGUACGAGCAAGAUACCAUAGGCUUCUUAAGGUGAAGAGCAGUGUUUCCCAACCACAGGCCAACAGACAGGCAAGCCAAAAAUUUUCUCCUUCAGAGACAAUGGUUACACCUCUGUUCCUCUUUCUCCCUCUCCAUUCCUCAGGAUCCUGACGGAAAAGUUAGUUUGCCAGUCUGCACUAUAAUAUAGACUUGGAAACACUGGUACAGAGCAGUUACAAAGAAAUAAAUUUAAAAACAACUUUUUUCAGCACAUAAUCUUACCAGGCGUUGGUGAGGUCUUUACUAUAAAACCUUGAUUAACCCGAACUCACCUAACUGGUACCCCAACUAACUGAACUCCCCCCCCCCCAGUACUCCACAUUGAUGAGAAAACAGCAAUAGUACCAAAAAAGAAGACUGCAAGGAAUUGAUUUUUUUUUUAAAUCACUUGCCAAGUGAUGACCUGUGGUUAGGUCACAUUCAGCUCUGUCUCCUGUAUCUUCUCUCCAUCUGGAUUGACCCGCAAACAUUAGAGAGCUGCUUCCCUGAGGCAAGAAAGUGGAUACAAGCAUUUUGAGAAAAAAAUGUUAUUGGCCAAGAAUGAAACAAAAUGAGUAUUCUUAAUGAAAUUUCCAUUCAUCCCUUAUGGAUUCCAAUUAAUCAAGGUUUUACUAUGUGUCAAAAACCAGUAACUUCCUUUCCCACCAGUAUGAACUGAUGACCUUGACAGUUUAGCCAAGCUUUUGGCUCCUUUGAGUUUUGCAAUGGCUAACCUGAUGCCUAGAGUAUUUAGCACCUUCUUCCUGGUCUUUUGCUCAUGUUUUUAGCAGACCACAGAGAACCUAAUUAUAGCAUUCAAGUGAGUUGCAGAAUGAAAAUUAAGCUGGAUUGGAUACAUUGUUCUAUGAUUCAUCGUUCAUAAUCAGCAUGGUUAAAAGGAGCCAUGGACUGUAUCAAGAUGACUCUAAAAUAUCCACAUGAUGCCAAGUACCCAGAAGUUUUCAAAUGACCAGAUGUUUGAUGUUACAUAAACAAAAAAACUGCCUGAAUUUUAACUUUUCACCCAAAUGUGUUGGUGUCAUGAAGACCCCUAAAUCUUUAGACCAGCUAUUUGCUAAUUACAACGAGCAAUCAAGCUUUUUUUUUUUUUUACCUCAGUUGAUACUGCUGCAAAGUCAAGUAACUUUAUUGCCAGCCCAUGAUUUCCACAUUAUCUGAUUUUUGAUAUGUAAAUGGAAAACUAUUUCAGUAGAUACUAAAUAUUUCCAACUUCUUUGACCAUAAUGCUACCUGCCAGGGAUCUUUCAAAUCACUUUUUUUGGUCAUUACUCCAGCCAACCUUUGAAAUGUCAACCCCUUUCUCAACUACGGAUAAUAGUAUGAUGAGUGCCGCAAAUCCAACGAUCGCUUAUUCUGUUUCUGGAUUAUCAAGGAGCUUGCCUUUAUCUUCUUCCUUCUUGCUAUCUGCUGUUUUCUGAGAGUGAGCAAGAGAAGGGGCAAGAGAUGAACUUGAAUCUGCUUUACCACUCGUUAGUGGUAAUGCCAAAAACAAAUCAAUGAAGAAGAAGGUAGAAAAGGCAGUGAAACCUCAUUAAUUUGGAGCCCUCUAAUUUAUAAUUUGUGACAAACUGGACAGGGGCUACAGUCUACAGUCUAACUUCAUCAGGGUUGUGGCCUAGAGAGGUUUGUUAAGCAAAUGGAGAGUUUAGACUAAAUUGUCAGUUGAAUUUUUCCUUAAGAGAACAAACGUUUUGCACAUGUUGGAAGCAUUUACUACAUAUAAUCAUAUUCAUUACAAAUCUAUCUGCUAAAGUAGUUCUCAGGAGGACCUCCACUAAGGCAAUGUUUUAUAGUGAGUUUGAAUUACAAAAUAGACUUAAAGUAAUAAAACUGUCAUACUUCAAACCUAUUUUGUAAUUCAACACUUUCUCAUUCAGACAUCCUUCCCCUCUGUUAGUCCAAAUCAGUGAAGUUUAACUGCAUUAGUAAAACGGCUUGAGAAUUACACUUCUUUGUUGUAUCCCAUCCCCAGUUAACAUGACAAUUGACUGUCGAAUAUACCAUCAUUAAACAAAGAGAAUGAGACCCAGAGAUGGUGAUGACUUUGAGAAGGUCACACAGCUAAUGCUGUCACAGAUCUCUGCUCAAUUUCAGGGUCACCUCUUGUGAUAAUAUUGCAGACAGCAAUUCAUCACAUCUGCUCAUCCAAUGAGCAAUGUGAAUCUGAUUGCAUGUGAUAUAUUUCCAUACAAAUCAGAUUCAUUCUCAACUACCUCGGUUACAACGAGGCAAAUGGCAUGUUUAAGCCAUGCCAGCCCUCAGUACCGAUUACUAAAGACGACAGUAAUCACAAAGCCUGACAUUUAUGAGUGCUUUUACUUUUUCACAAACACUUCCACACCUAUUAUUUCUGAAAGCAGGAGAGGGAGAAAAACCUGUGUUACUUAUCUCUCUGUCUCUCUUCUGCAACAUUUAAAUAAUGAUAAAUGGGCAAUUAUGUUAAAUUGUUGACUUUCCCCCCUUGCAUGAGACAUUACACAUUCUAAGCCUACUCUCAAAAAGUUACUAUUCUAUGGAAGGAACCAGCAACUUUUCAGGCUGUUUUAAAUGUGCAUAUGCUUAAACUAAUGAAAUAGGUUUUCAUUUUAAUUUCUGAAUACAAGGAAUUAAGACAAGGUCAGCCAGUAAGGUAGGCCCUGAACCAGACCUACAGGCUAAAACUAAAAACCAGCUUGGUUUUACCAAUUUCCUAAACCUGGGCUAACAGAGCCUAAACAAAUCAGACUUGACGUUCCUUGAUGGACUAUAAAUACGCAGGCAAGGAUCAUGGAAAUUAGAGCUGUGGUUUGGGAAUUUUUAACCUGCAAAUCACCCUUUUGUGUUAGUGCUUUAUUACAAUGUGUGUGCAAAUGCAGUAAUUAAGAGCCAGUAGGUUGUUUCAGCGAUAAACUCAGAUCACCAGGGGUUUGUGACACAGCCAGGGAAAGUCUGUUGCUGUGAAUCACAGCAGAAUGGGGAUUUAGCUGGUGAAUUACCACAUAAGCACAUCAGCCUCCCUUCACAGCUGCCUGUCUCCUCAAACUUUCCAAUUCUUCUGAUCUCCCCCCCGCCCACCCCGCGCUUCCUUCCCUUAAUCUUGGGAAAGGGACAGCAGCUUAGCUUUCGUGUGUAGUCUUACCUCACUAGAGGAGGUCUGGUCAGUGAAACAAACUAUCUGUGACUGGGUGACAAGGUGUUAUAAACCCUACUCCACCUCACCCCGGAAUUGCCCUGGCUGUAGUUCUAUCCAGGGAUUUAAAUAGACUUCCAGCAUCCAUAUUUUCCAAGGUGAAAAUCAGCACACUGUGUGCUUUGGGGAACAUUGGAACAGCAUGUUUAAAUGGAACCAUUCAGAAACCCUUGACUGCAAUGAGAGUUGCACAACAUGUGCCUUAGCUUGUAAGGUGUGUGGGGAAGUAAGGGAUGAGGAUGAGGAUGGGACAGCAGUUAAACUCCCAUUAAUUAAAUAAAUGGUUGGAUGAUCUUUAUAAUUUAUAGAACAUUGAUAGAGAAUAUUGAUGCAGUUUUAUUAUCUUUAAAUAUAGGGAUUAGAAUAAACUAGCCAACGUGAUUCUAGGAAAGAACUUAGGGAACUUGUUUUAAUAAAUUCAAAAAAUGGCUUGCAAUUAAAAUUAGUUGUGUUUUCUUUCACAUGGGUGCUUUUAAAAUACCCAAAAAGAGUUUGUUCUCUUAAGAAAUUCAAACAUGUUCCUAUUCCUUAUCACUAGCAAUCUUUUUUUAAAAUCCCGUGCAUUUGCUUAGCAAGUCUUCUACUGAAAGACAGUGAAAAAUUAUACUUUAGGACAGCCCAUUUCCAAAUGCCCUCCGCUUCCUCUUUGGUGGUGCAUAGAUGAAUGAGGUGGUACUGUGUUUUCCAUAUGUAUAAAUGAGAUCUUCAGUUUUGUGUGUAUUUCUUCUUCUUCCAUGUAUGUCUACAAUUCUCCUCUCCUAUGCCACCGUCUCUUAACCACUUCUCUUCCACACCCAGAAUUCUUUGACAUUCUUGGGCCUUGGGUAAUGGAUGUGAAUCUGCAUCUGCCUUUUACCUGCAACAAGAUGGACCUUUUAUUGGCAGGAGCCAUCCCUAAAGGUAGACAUUUUGGAUACCCAGGGUUAAGAUGGAUCCCAAUGACUCUUUAUUGACACUGUUAUGUGUGUAGGCAAGAAUCAUUACAGAUCGAUGGCACUUCCUGGGUCUUAGAAGAAGUUCCCGUGAAUCACCGAGACUGGUUUGAGAUCGAGGAGUAGGAACGCCUGUAAACCUUGCAGUAUUGAAACUCAGUGAACAAGGCAUCUUAGACAAGCUGAAAAACAAAUGGUGGUACGAUAAGGGGGAGUGUGGAGCCAAGGACUCC